AAGAAAGUGGCAGAAUGGUUAUGUGGGUGGCUUGAAACUAUCUCAUGGGGGUUCAAUUCCCUCCUUUCUCG
rnacentral:tRNA from 2 species